rnacentral:misc_RNA from 1 species
CAUUACAGAAAUCCCAAUUAAGCAAGAGCUCAGCACGACUGGGCGAGAAGACCAAUGGGUAGUCAUACUCGUUGAUCGAUAAUCCUCACAGCCUGACCAACUGUGGGGAAUGAGCUUUUAUAGCGAGCUCAGGGGUGUUUGCGUGACACGGCACGCAUUCACUGUGAAGAGAGAAAAAGCGAAAAAAAGAGCUACCCUAAAGCUCAUGAAAAUGGUUUGAUCGCGUAUCCCGGCGCUUUCUUCCAUAUAUAUAAAGCAUUGCACAGAUAAUGAGUUUUGAGCUGGGGCUCAUUAGUGCACAUUACGAUUGCAUGGUUGUGGCAACCGGUGAUCGUUAACUGCAGCUUUGUCUGCCUACGGUGGAGCGAUCCAGUUCUGCCUUUCGCCUGUGCCUGGUACAUUCGUGUACCUACGCACAGUUCUGGUUGUGACAGGGUGCCUACCCGUCUGAUGCUCUUUGUUAUGCUUGCCGUCUGUAGAUGGUCAGUCCAUAUCAGGAGUGACGGGAUGUGCUGUCAAAAUUGGCAGUGCUAGGCUUAAUGAGUGGUUCGACAUAACGAGCUACGGCUCAGCCACCGCCCUGUUUGCUGUUUGUUGCAACAAAAUCCCAUAUUACACUGUUCAAGUGGUUCAGAUCGGACAUUGCUCACCCAACCGGUUUGAAUCAUUGCCCGACAUGCACCUGGUCUCGUACUGGAAUGCAUGUGCAGUCGCCUGGCGGUGCCUUAUCCUGGGCUAGACUGAGUAACCAAGCGUCGCUCAUCCGAAUCCCUGGAUGUUCGAUGUGAGUACAACUCUGUGCGGUGGAUCACUCGGCUCGUGUGUCGAUGAAGAGCGCAGCCAACUGUGUGAAUUAAUGUGAACUGCAUACUGCUUUGAACAUCGACAUCUUGAACGCAUAUUGCGGCCAUGGGUUAGCCUGUGGCCACGCGUGUCCGAGGGUCGGCUUAUAUACUAUCGCGACGCCCAAAAAGUCGCGGCUUGGGUCUUGCCAGCUGGCGUGAUAUCCCCUAUUUGGUCUUGUGCCUUUGUGGGGUGCCAGAACUAUGGCGUUUCCCUAAUGUACCCGGACGCACCAUGUUACGGCUAAAAGCCUUGACGAGAUGUGUCGAUAGAGUCGUGGCUCAGUGAUAUAUUUUAUGUGCGCGCUCUACCGUCAUGUUUUGUCUAUGGUUGGCUUGCUGUGGGUGGUUGUGUACCGAUGCUGACUAAUGUAUGUGCCAUAUGGCUCAUCAUUU